rnacentral:rRNA from 1 species
CCUACGGGAGGCAGCAGUGGGGAAUAUUGGGCAAUGGGCGCAAGCCUGACCCAGCAACGCCGCGUGAAGGAAGAAGGCUUUCGGGUUGUAAACUUCUUUUAUGAGGGAGGAGCAGAAGACGGUACCUCUUGAAUAAGCCACGGCUAACUACGUGCGAGCAGCCGCGGUAAUACGUAGGUGGCAAGCUUUGUCCAGAUUUACUGGGUGUAAAGGGCGUGCAGCCGGGAAGACAAGUCAGAUGUGAAAUCCGGCGGCGAAACCGCGGAACUGCAUUUGAAACUGUUUUUCUUGAGUACCGGAGAGGUCAUCGGAAUUCCUUGUGUAGCGGUGAAAGGCGUAGAUAUAAGGAAGAACACCAGUGGCGAAGGCGGAUGACUGGACGGCAACUGACGGUGAGGCGCGAAAGCGUAGGGAGCAAACAGGAUUAGAUACCCCAGUAGUC